CAAGAAACCAACACAACUUUCCAAUCCAUGGCUCUUUUCAAAUUUCCUUUGCUUCUCUUUCUCUCCUCUUUCUUUCUCGACGCAGCACUAGGUGAGAUUGUUUGCGAGAAUUUGCCGAAGGAUGUAUGCGCAUUUUCUAUAGCAUCAUCUGGGAAGAGGUGCUUGCUGGAGACUUAUGCGAGGAGAGAUGGGAAGGUGGAGUACCAGUGCAGGACAUCAGAGGUUAUUGUUGAGCGAAUGGCAGAUUAUAUAGAGACAGAUGAGUGUGUAAGAGAUUGUGGGGUAGACAGAAACUCUGUUGGUAUUUCUUCUGAUGCACUUCUUGAGCCUCAUUUUACUGCCAAGCUUUGCUCUCCUUCUUGUUACCAGAAAUGCCCCAACAUCGUCGACCUUUACUUCAAUUUGGCUGCUGGCGAAGGUGCAUUUUUGCCAGACCUGUGUGAUGCUGCGAGGACCAAUCCCCGCCGUUCCAUGAUUCAGUGAUGAGCUCAGGUGCAACUCCUAGCCCUAUUGCCAGCGACUCAUCAACUUCUUUCAUUGGCGC
rnacentral:misc_RNA from 1 species